rnacentral:tRNA from 1 species
GGCCUUGUGGUCUAGUGGUAUGAUUCUCGCUUAGGGUGCGAGAGGUCCCGGAUUCGAUCCCCGGCAAGGCCC